CAGUAGCCGCGGUAAUACGAAGGGUGCAAGCGUUAAUCGGAAUUACUGGGCGUAAAGCGUGCGUAGGCGGUGAGUUAAGUCUGCUGUGAAAUCCCCGGGCUCAACCUGGGAAUGGCAGUGGAUACUGGCUCGCUAGAGUGUGUCAGAGGAUGGUGGAAUUCCCGGUGUAGCGGUGAGAUGCGUAGAGAUCGGGAGGAACAUCAGUGGCGAAGGCGGCCAUCUGGGACAACACUGACGCUGAGGCACGAAAGCGUGGGGAGCAAACAGGAUUAGAUACCCCUGUAGUCCCUGUCUCUUAUAA
rnacentral:rRNA from 1 species